rnacentral:lncRNA from 1 species
CUGUAUAAAUAUUGAAACAUUUUCUAAUUAACCCUUAGGAAGAAGAAAGAAAAUAGUCAUUUUACUUCUCAGCUCAAAUCUAUCUUGGAAUUACAACUAUCCUUGGUUCUGGCAGAACAUCCAUUUUAUUUAGCAUCAGAGGCAACUUUUCUUAUUAUUGGAACAUCCAGAGGAUGGCUGACUACUUUGCUCUGCCUCAUGCUCAUCAUAGUAGCAAAGGUACUGAAGCAGAUAAUCAUCAUUGAACAUUAAACAAAGAUCAUUAAAGAAAGGUGUUGUUUUUGUACAUCGUUCAUCUUCAAAGGGACCGAUGGUAUCCUGAGGUGUGUAAACCUUAAAAUUUAACCUUAAAAAAACCUUAAAAACCUGUCUUGAAU